rnacentral:rRNA from 1 species
UACCCUAUUAUUCAAAAUUUAAAUAAAAAUACCAGNNNNNAGUAGUAAGAGUUAUGAUCUUGAAACUUAAAAAAUUUGGCGGUAUUUUAGUCUAUUCAGAGGAACCUGUAAUGUAAUCGAUAGUCCACGUUGUAUCUUACUUAAUUUUGUUUGUCAGUUUGUAUAUCGCCGUUAUUUGAAAAUUUUAUAAGAAUAAUAAUUUUCAUAAUUUUUUAUUAAAAAAUAUAUCAGGUCAAGGUGCAGCUUAUGAUUAAGUUUUAUAUGGGUUACAAUAACAAUAGUUAUACGGAUUAAUUUUUUAAAUUAAAAUAUGAAGGUGGAUUUGAUAGUAAAUUUUUAAAGAUUGUAAAUUUGAUUUUAGCUCUAAAAUAUGUACAUAUCGCCCGUCACUCUUGUUAUUAAUAUAAGAUAAGUCGUAACAUAGUAGAUGUACCGGAAGGUGUAUCUAGAAUGACAAUUUAAAGCUUAUAAGUAAAGCAUUUCAUUUACAUUGAAGAGAUUAUUGUGCAAUUCAAUAUAAAUUGAUGAUAUAUAAUUAUUAAUUUUUUUUUUGUAUUUUAAAAUUAUUAAAAAUAAUUAUAUAGUAUUAUUGUUUUAGUAUUUUUUAUAGAAUAAAUAAUUUUUAUUAUAGUGAAUUAGGUAUUGUGAGAGAAUUUUGAAAUAAUKGAAAAAUAUACAUUUAAAAAGAAGAUUUAAUUUAUUGUACCUUGNGGUAUCAGGG